GCAGCCCUAACUUUCCUGUAAGUCUUGUGUUCAAACUUGCAUCCAGGCUUCCUACCACCAUACGGUGGAGCAGGACCAGCUUCAGAGGAGGUGGAUCUCCUGAAGAUGUCGUGGGCACUGGAGGUUUCACAGUAAGUGGUGCCGUGAGUUGGAUGGACGACUCCAGCAUGCAAAAAUGGCAUUAUCCUGCCCAAGAUCUUUCAGACAAGAGAGGUGUAACGCUUCCUCUACAUGCAGAUGGUCUACAUGGCUGCCAGGGAGUCCGCUGUGUACCUUCCCUGAUUGCCGACAUCAGCCACCGUGGACACAGAAUGGUUGUAAUAAUUGUCUCUGGAGGGCGAUUUGUACGGGAAUCUGCAAGCUCAGUUACCUAUGGAGCUCACCGCUGACAUGCUUUUGUGGAGAAAGGGGCUCUCCCCAGCUGGCCCUGUGUUCAUCUGUUAUUCAGUCCGCGAUAAAUACAGAAUGAUGACAAAUAUGAAAACCCAUGGUUGAUGCUGAACGCUACCUCAACUGGGUUGCAAAGGUGGAGAUUCUGGCUGAUUUUGCAAAUCAAGGUCAUGAACCACCCAUGAACCCCUAAGCCAGUCCUCCAGACCCAGGAGUAUUCACUCAUAGGAACAGGGGACCAGCCCCAAAGCUACCACUCUGCAGCCUGCCUUGGUUUUGUCCUUUCAGAAACUGUCUAGAUCAGAAGCAUCAGUGUCCCUUGCAAAGUGAGAGCUACUUGUUGAGAACGUAUGUGACCAGGAGCUGGUUGUAAAAAUCAUAGCUGUGGUCUUUCGCACUUGAUCUGGAAGAACCAGGUACGCGUUAUGACUUAAAAAGCUUCCUUCUGCUCUCCUUCCCGGCACCGUCAUACCCCGUUGGCUUGGUCAGCUGCUCCCUGGUUUCAACCUGCCUGUCCCUU